rnacentral:rRNA from 1 species
AACGAACGCUGGCGGCAGGCCUAACACAUGCAAGUCGAACGCUCCGCAAGGGGAGUGGCAGACGGGUGAGUAACACGUGGGAAUCUUCCUAUUGGUACGGAAUAGCUCAGGGAAACUUGGGGUAAUACCGUAUAAGCCCGAGAGGGGAAAGAUUUAUCGCCGAUAGAUGAGCCCGCGUCUGAUUAGCUAGUUGGUGAGGUAACGGCUCACCAAGGCGACGAUCAGUAGCUGGUCUGAGAGGAUGACCAGCCACACUGGGACUGAGACACGGCCCAGACUCCUACGGGAGGCAGCAGUGGGGAAUAUUGGACAAUGGGCGCAAGCCUGAUCCAGCCAUGCCGCGUGAGUGACGAAGGUCUUCGGAUUGUAAAGCUCUUUUGCCAGGGACGAUAAUGACGGUACCUGGAGAAUAAGCCCCGGCUAACUUCGUGCCAGCAGCCGCAGUAAGAC